UACGUAGGGUGCAAGCGUUGUUCGGAAUUAUUGGGCGUAAAGAGCUCGUAGGCGGUCUGUCGCGUCUGCUGUGAAAACUCGGGGCUUAACCCCGGGCCUGCAGUGGGUACGGGCAGACUAGAGUGCGGUAGGGGAGACUGGAAUUCCUGGUGUAGCGGUGAAAUGCGUAGAGAUCGGGAAGAACAUCGGUGGCGAAAGCGCUCUGCUGGACUGCAACUGACACUCAGGGACGAAAGCUAGGGGAGCGAAUGGG
rnacentral:rRNA from 1 species